GAUAUGAUGUUUGAGCUAUUAAGCUCUGUAGAGAUAUAUACAUAUACUUUGGAAAGAUUAUGUUCAAUGAUUUUUGUGCUUAUCUAGUGGUCAUUGUUUUGCCUACGGGUGAUGAUACUUAUAUAUGGCUUUAGCCGGGCGUAGGUUGGUGGUUUCGACCGAAAGAUACUUAUAUUGGCUUCGGCACGGGAGAUGUAGUGCCGGGCGGAAUGUCCUACCUACAGGCGUAUGUUCUGCCUACGAGCGUAUGAUCUACCUACAAGUGAAUGACCUGCCUUCGGGUGAUACUGAUGCCACUAUCUAGCACACUAUAUACAAUAUAUAUUUUAUUGAAAGGUUUUAUGGCAUGCUAGGGUUUUCGGAAAACCUAUUACAUACUAUACUAUGGAGUUUUAAUAAACUUUGGGGGUUAGUACAUUGUUGAAUAACUGUUUCAGUAUUACUUAUAUAUCAAUUUGGUCCAAUCAUGUUUUAUUUUGCACCCCCUCAGGACUUAGAUUCGAGGCGUACAAUCCCCGCGACAAGGCACUCCCGCAUCAGCAUCUUCAAAUCCUGUUGGUGUGUCGACCGCACAUGCUUACCCUAGUGUUUGGAGGAUAUCAGGGUCGGGCGUAUCAUUAACCAUACCUUAUUAAACUUUUAAUCUUUCCAUCUUUAAAUCCUCGAGUAAGUAAACACAUUCAUGUAUCCGAUUUGCAGCUGAAACUGUAAUUCAACUAUUAUGCUAGAAAUAAGAACAGAUUUGUGGUUCAACCAUCAUAUCAGCUGGUCUCUAAAGUUUUAAGAAAAAAAAAUACAUUAACUAACUAGCACUUUAAUCGAAGUUAUCAUCCCCAAUUUAGUCAAACCCAUGAGAUAACGUGUAGCUGACUUUAGAAUUUGACAAACACACCACCACAGAUCGGAACAAUGAGUUUUGUUGUUGCACAAAAUUAGUGAAGACUUUGGAACAAUGUAAAGUGUCAAGUUUGUAACCUUCGCUCGAUUGCUCCGGUCACUAGUGAGGAUAAAUAUGUAAAGAGAUAGAAAUAGGGAAGCAAACACAAGAUGCACGUGGUUCAUCCUAAGUUUGGCUAUGUCCAUGGCGUAGAGGAGUUCUCAUUAAUAGUGAAGGGUUUACAAAAAUAUAUAGGUGCAAGCAUAAUGAUCGUUAGUGAGUUCUAAUAACUAGUUUAAGUACAAUAAUGACAUUAGGGAUUCAUUGUAGGAGAAUGGUCUUCGUUUAUAGUAGAGGAGAGCAUCCAACUUUUAUCCGUGGUCGAUGUGGGACUUUAUGAGCUUUAUUCUGAGGUUGACAUGUGUUGUGCUUUGAUUGGCCUCCUGGUUGGAGGGAAACUCUUGUGCUUUGGCAGGGGUGCCUCAGCAUGAACCCCUUAGUGGAUCCUUGAAUGUAUGAAGUUGACCGGUGCUUAGCAAUUUUGGGAUUUGUAUGUAAAACUGAAACAAUCUUGAAACAAUUUUAAUACUUAAGAUCAACGCACAAACACAAUUGAAACCACCAACAACAACGACAAGCCAAUAAUUGCAGAAAUCAACAAUCUUGUGCAUACGAAACAAGAAACCCCUAAAUCUUAGGGUUACAGAUUUCAGAGAAUCAUAAAUAAUGCACAAAUCAAACACGCUGAGCAGAAAGAAACGAAAGAAUCAACAAAACCUAAUGCACGAAGGCGAUCAAGAACUCAGCAAUUCAACCAACGAAAAAACUAUCAAUAAAUCACUGACAAUCCAGUAUGAAAAAACAAAAAUCCAAUACACAACCGGAGAAGACGAAAAACUGAUGACCGGAGAUGUCACCGAACACAGAUCACAAAUGGAGAUGAGUAGCGAAAACAUAAAGGAUCGUCAAUCGGAGGCAUGAGCCACUCUCGGCGAAGAUACCAUGACAACAAUGUAAUUGAGAGCUAAGUAAACAAGAGAGAGAAAUUAAAGAGGGAAAGUUUGCUAAAACUGAAUAUUCUCUUUCAUUCAACCUGUGUAGAAUAAUUACAACUAUUAGUAUUUAUACAUUAGUAAAACACCUCUCUACUAACUAUCUAAGACCACUACCAAUAAUACAUAGACACUUGUCAUAAUCCUAUGCAGUCAUAAUCUCAUCAACUCUACCAACACCCUCUUGCUGAAGUUACCAUUUUGUAUGUAAAUUCUCCACCUUUUUCAUGUUCUAGUUGUUGGGUUUAUUGUAAUUUUAUAAUGUGGGUUCUUUUUCUUGAUGUUAACUUACCACUUUGUAUGUAAUUCUUCACUUUUUUUCAUGUUGUAAUUAUUAGGUUUGUUUUAUUUUAAUGUUUUUCGUGUUUUCUAAUGUGGAUUGUUCUUGUUGUUGAUGUUGAUCAUCGGAGGAGUACUGCCACUCGGAUGCAGGGUGACAGUGAAGAUUACGAGUUGAAGCAAAUGAGGGAUGUGGCUGCUGCCAAAAAGAGAUGGGAAGCUCUGGUAUGUCAGAAAAACCUUUUCUGGGUUCAAGGAGGCGUAGAGGCUGCUGAAGAAGAGUGAGUCUCAUCUUAUGUGGGAGCAGGAUCUUGCCAGAGAAGGCCCUCUGCCAUUUAAGUUUGCUGGAAUUGGUGGGCUUUUAGAAUUCCUUGGUUGGACAGAUCAGCAAAGAGCUGCAGCUGCCAAAGAAAAUUGGAGUUGCCGAUUAGUGUUCUCUGCCCGGCUGGCACAGGUCGGAGUCAUUCUCCUUGCCGAUGCCUUAUUUCCUGGUGCUCAGCAAUUAGGACGUUAUCUUCAGGAUAUACGAUCACUCUGAGGUUAAACACAUGUACUUGAAGUACUUGAUUGUAUAUCAAGAUACAACAUUUUGCAGUACUGGUUCACCAUAGAUAACAGAUUUGCCUCAGAAUGAAGAUUACACCAAUCAGGGUAAAGGAGGGGAAAACGGGAAGGAAAAUCAUAUAUCAUAGAGAAAAAAGGGAAACCGUGGUCUGGCGACAAGAAUCAGAUCGGCUAUCCUGUGCAUUGUGAUACCAAAAACUUCUGCCGGGUCCAAAUCUUUAGAUGUAGUACCUGGAGGAAGCUCCCAAUCAAAGCUAUGCAGAAGUUGAGCUAGAGCAAGCUCCGUGGUUGCUGUUCCGAACGUAAUACCUGGACAAACUCUUCUACCAGCCCCGAAAGCUUUCAGGUAGUCCAGCUGAGGCAGAUCACUCUCUAACACGACUCUUCUUUCUCCGACAACUCCUCGUACUUCUGCUUGCGCUCUUCCCAGUACUUUGGGGUUCAUCAAAAGCUCUGUCAUUCCCCAAUCGAGGGUGAUGAAA